CAAGUGAAUGCUUUACAUUAAGGUUCACACUUGGUGUCCAGUUGAUGAGCAUUGUUGGUUUUUCACAGCAGUUAUUCCCUGGGAAGCACAUCCAUGUGGCUUGGGGUGAACCUGAUGAUGCUGACCUAUUGCCAAAUAAAGUGCUUUGGAGAAGUGUUUAAGAUUGGGUAGAAGUACAGAAGAAAGAAACAGAAGCAUGGAGGAAAGAAGGAAAAGUCUCUGAGGCUGUUUGAAGAGGGAGGUUGGUGAUAGUUCUUGCCUAUGUUAUCCAUACCCUUCUCCCACUCCCUAAAUCUGCUUCUACCCCUAGGCAUGUGUCUUGGGGCCUUCCUCUUCCUGGAGAGAUGCUGCUGCCUUUGAAUCUUUUUUAGUGGGUGUUGCUUUCCUCCUGCACACCCCCCAGGGCUACAUCGUGAGUCCCUACCCACACUGUGAUAAGGGAAAGUUUUAUUUUAAAAUGAAAAUCUUGGGGAAUGAGACCUUUUCUUAGAACCUCGGAUAAAAUUCUAAUUGCUCUUGCAAAGUUCUUGUAAGGAAUUCUAAGUGGUCCUCCUAUUAUGACAGAUGAAGCCUCCUGGGAAGCUGGCUACCCCGGGAGGGAGCCCAGGUCAACACGGAGAUGCCCUUCCAAACAGGGCCCCGAACAGCUGAAGGGCUCCAGUUACCCAAGAAACCCCCAGAGUGCUGCAAUGACACAAGUGAGCCACCCAGCGAGCUGCACCUUGGAUUUCGACACGCUCUCCACGCUGCUGGACAGGUCGUCGAUCUCGAGCUUGAACUCGCUCUUCUCCUUCUCUAGCUUCUGCUUGACCCGCUGCAGGUUGUCGAUCUGCUCCGCGAGCUCAGCCGCGCUGUCCGCGUGCUUCUUCCUCAGCGCGGCGACCGUGGCUUCGUGCUGCAGGGUCGCCUCCUCCAGGUCUCUGCGCAGCUUCAGGAACUCGGCCUCCCGCUUCUUGUUCAGCUCGAUCUGGGUGGAGGUGACGCCGCCCGCCUCCUCCAGCCGCUCGCUCAGCUCCUCCAGCUCCCGGGCGUAGUCGCUGCGCUGCUUCUCGGUCUUGGCUCGAGUCGCCCUCUCCGCCUCGAUCUCUUCUUCCAGCUCCUCGAUGCGAGCCUGUGGAGAGCAGCCGUUCAGCCCGGGGCGGCCGCUCCAGAGCGGCUCUCAGUGUCUCUGUUCGAAACGGCUACGACGUGGAAUCAACCUAAGUGCCCGUCCGCAGAAGAGCGAACAGAGGGACAGACAGCACGAAUGCUGUGCGAGUACGCAAUGGAAUAUUCUGCAGCCACAAAAAGUACGAAACCCUGUCAUUUGCUGCAAAAUGGCUUAAACUGGAAGGCAUUCUGUCAAAACGAAAUAAGCCAGACACCAAAAGACAAAUACCACAUGUUCUCUUAUGUGGAAGUUAGGGGGAAAAGAGCCUGAAUUUAGGAUGGUGAUCACUAGAGGCAGCUACAGGGAGACUGGAUUUGAUAAACGCUGUGUGCAUGUGUUGAAAUAUCACACCAAAAACCAUUCACAUGUAACUUAAUACAUGAAUAACAAUAAUAAUAAAAGAACACGCUAGUUUCCAUUUGGAAACCAGUUCACAGACUCUCCUUCAAGAAGUACAAAUGUUACUGAUUAUUUUAUUUUAUUUUUAUUUACAGUACUGAGGAUUGAAUCCAGGGCCUCAGGCAUGCUAAGCAAGCCUCUACCACAGAAUUACCAAACCACACCCCCAGCCCCUUUUUAUUUUUAUUUAUUUAUUUAUUUAUUUAUUGGUACUGGGGAUUGAACUCGGGACCUUUUGCUUGCAAGGCAGGCAGCAGAACCACUGAGCUAAAUCCCCGGCCCCAGCCCCUUUUUAUCUUGAGAUGGGGUCUCAUUAAGUUGCUCCAGCUAACCUCUAAAUUCGGGUUCUCCUGCCUCAUCCCCAUGAGACACGUCCCACUGAGUCCUGCUCUGCUGAUUUCCUUUCAUGAAUUUUCCCUGAAACAACAUGUUCUUUAGUCCCGCAAUAAGCACCCCAGGAUAUUUGCUAUUCAACUGAAUGUUGAUCCAAGCACUUCAGUUCUGAAUCGUGUUACAGGCUCUAAGAGUGAUGUCCAUCCCUAACCCUCAGCUGGGCAGAAGGGAACUGGCGAGGUGGGCAGCUGUGUGAACCACCCCCUCACUCUGGAAGGCUUCAAGCAGACAGAAACCCAAAGGCCGCCUACCUGCAACUCUUUGAUUUUCUUCUGAAACUGGAGGCCCAGAGCCUGCUCAUCUUCCACUUUGCUUUGUAGCUGACUAUAUUCAAAAUCCUUCCUGGGGAGGGAAACGUAGAUGCAUGAGGACAGAAUCCCCAAGUAACCUACAAAAUGGAAACCGGUGGCUUCAGUGCCUACUUCUUGAGCCUUUCGUCCAGCUGUUGCUUAUCAUUCUCCAGAUCUAGGAUGGACUCCUGGGCAAGCUUCAAGUCUCCCUCCAGCUUCCGCUUGUUCCUCUCCAGGUCUACGCGGAGCUUCUUUUCUUGUUCAAGGGAGCUUUCCAGCUGAAAAAUGCACCAGGGCCUUUGGAGAACAAAUGCUGUGCAAAAGGACCCUGAAGAUCCUGGUCUUCCUUGUUAACAUUACUCACAUCAUCCACUUGCUGUUCCAGUUUGCUCUUGAUUUUGCUCAAAGAAUUGACUUUGUCUUCUUCAGCUUGGAGGUCGUCCAGGGUCUGCUGGUGGGCCUCUUGGAGAGCCUUCUUCUCCCUGGUUAACUUUGCAAUUGUUUCAUCCAACCCAGCCAGUUCCUCAGUAAGGUUUUUAACCUGAAGAGAAGCCACAGACAAUUAUUAAGAAGAAAUAAAGUUUAAUUUGCAAUGAUUGUGCCAAGCAGGAAAUACCCACAAGAAGAGUACCUUGUUCUCCGUGGCAUGCUUCUCCUUCUCAACCUUGGCCAGUGUCAGCUCAAGGUCAUCUAUGUCUUUCUUCAGUUCUGAGCACUCAUCCUCCAGUUUCCUCUUCUUGGCUGUCAGCUCAGCAUUGAGUUCUUCCUCAUCCUCAGCUCUCUCUGUCACCUCCUUGAUCUUAGCCUCAAGCUGGAAUUUGGCUUUGAUCAGUUGGUCGCAUCUUUCCUCAGCAUCCAGUAAGUUUUCACUUUCCUUUAAAAAAAAAAAGAGUCAUAAUUCCCUUUAAGGAGAUGAGAUUUGUGACAUUCCAGUAUUUUGUUCUUUAUGAAGUCCUUUAUGACGCAUCCCAACUAAAAAUCAAAAUUCUCCACCAAUAAUCCAGCCUUCCUAAAUAGAUAAUCAAGUCUUGGGGCUUAAAAACAAAGGAUUCCUGAACACAUACAGCCUGUACUUGGAGCUGCAGGUCAUUCUUCUCUUGUACCAGUGUCACCAGUUUUUCUUCAAGCUCCUUCCUCUUUGCCUCCGACUUGGCGAGCUCAUCUUUGGUUUUCUGGAACUCUGCCUUCAUGGUGGCCAUUUCCUUCUCCGUCUCUGCGCUUUUGAGCAGGGGCUUGAUCUUGAAGAAGAGUUUCAUCCAGGGCCAGUGCUUGACGUUCAUGAAGGAGCGAAUGUUGUACUGGAUGCAGAAGAUGGAUUCCCUGAAAACACAACACUGCUUAUUCCUAAGAAUGACCCCCCCUUGCCCCAAGGAGUGCAGGUUUGAACAAAGACCCUGGCUGACCUUCUCUGCACCAUCUUCUGGAAUUCCACACGCAUGAGAAACCCUCUGCAGACUGCUUGGGUCCGGGUGAUCAGUUUGGCCAGGCGGUCAUCGCGCAUUUCUUCCAGGGUUCCCAGUAAGCCAGCCUUGAAGAACACCUUAGAGAGGGGAGAAGUGACACAGUCACUUGUCUAGAGAAGUAAUAUUAGGAGGAUGAAGGCCAGCAUCUUUCAGGAUUGACGCACUACCUUGGUGUGUCCAAAUUUGUACUGAGUGUGGUCAAUAUCAAUGGAUGCCAAGAGUUUUUCACAUGCUUUCUUGCUGUCAAUGAAUUGUCCCUCUGGGAUUGCACUGGCAUUUAGCACUCGGUAUCUGCCAUUGUAGACAUGGAAAUAAUCAUAGGCUGUCAGCAAAGACAUAGACCUUGGAGACCAGUGAGUUCAGGUCCUUCUUCCCAUAUGUAAGAAGGCCAAGUUUCGAAGAGGUGAAAAACUUGCCUGUAGCCACACUGCUAGAUAUCAGCCUGGACCCUAAGGCCUUGGGAGUCAGGCCAGAGCUUUUCCUGCCAUUUUGUAUGGCAGAUAAAUUCCAGAGAACAACAGGGAAAAAACAUGUAUAUACACCUGGACCCAGUGGUGGAUUGUUUUACAUGGAGAUCCACAACUGGUUUUUUUUUUCCUUGAAGUAACUCUUUUCAUACCAGUAUUUCUCCCCUUCAAAUUCCAGUUUUGGCACAACUUGUUAAGAAGAUAUAGAACAUUUUGAUCACAACCUUUGUUUAAAAUCCCCAUAGAGGAUCCUGUUUGGGAAUCCUUUCCUGCAGAUGCGGAUGCCCUCCAGAACACCAUUGCACCUCAGCUGAUGGAGGACAAGGCUGUGUUCCAUAGCCCCUAGGACAAAAGCAAGAUGUGUCAGCUUCACACGGAAUCACUCACAAACCUGAGCACUCCCUCCACAGCUGCUGGGCAUCUCACCUGGGGUUUUGGUUUCAUUGGGAAUUAUACAACGCACAAAGUGAGGGUGGGUAGUUCUUAAAUUUGACAUCAGUUUGUUCAGGUUUUCCUAAAAUAAAAACACUAAAUGUGACAGGCUGCUGUGGACUUUUUCAGAGAUGGAGAUAUGCCAUCAUGAAACACAUGUGUUUUAAACUUAUGAUGAAUUCUGAAGAAUAGCAAAGUUACUUAACUCUGUUUUAAUAGACUUAUGGCUACAAGUGUAAGCAAGUAACCAACCAGGUUGAGUGUCCCCGAAAAUCUGAAAUUUGAAACGCUCCAAAAUCUGAAGCCUUUUGAGAGCCAACAUGACACCACGAGUAGAAAAUUCCACACUGGACCUUACCUGCUGGGCCAUAGGCAGAACACCGGCACACUUACAAAUAUGAUAUAAACGCACCUUCAGGGCGCGUGUGUGAGGUGCAUAUGAAAUAUAUAUCAAUUUUGUGUUUAGGCUUGGAU
rnacentral:lncRNA from 1 species